UUCCUUAAUCGCUACCUCCAACCUAAAAUCGGAAAAACACAGCUGGUUUCCUACAGCCACCCACGUGGGCCGACAUUUAUACCUGCAUGUUUUAAUAGCAGACGGAGGAAUUUCACUUUCCAGAGGCACAAUAUAACCAGGGCCGGAGUAUCCAUCGCAGCUGCCAGCAAUAGAAGUCAACUUUGUGCCCCCACCUUACAGAAAGAACUGAGCCAAACACUGGUGACAAAAGAUGAUCUGAUAAAUUAAAAACAAACAACUCACCCAGGAA